rnacentral:rRNA from 2 species
AUCGGGUCUAUACAUGCAGUCGAGCGACUGAUUAGAAGCUUGCUUCUAUGACGUUAGCGGCGGACGGGUGAGUAACACGUGGGCAACCUGCCUGUAAGACUGGGAUAACUUCGGGAAACCGAAGCUAAUACCGGAUAGGAUCUUCUCCUUCAUGGGAGAUGAUUGAAAGAUGGUUUCGGCUAUCACUUACAGAUGGGCCCGCGGUGCAUUAGCUAGUUGGUGAGGUAACGGCUCACCAAGGCAACGAUGCAUAGCCGACCUGAGAGGGUGAUCGGCCACACUGGGACUGAGACACGGCCCAGACUCCUACGGGAGGCAGCAGUAGGGAAUCUUCCGCAAUGGACAAAAGUCUGACGGAGCAACGCCGCGUGAGUGAUGAAGGCUUUCGGGUCGUAAAACU